CAGGUGAUGAUCCUGAAAUGGUCUGC
rnacentral:misc_RNA from 1 species